rnacentral:rRNA from 1 species
CGGUGCUUAUUCUGUCGGUAACGUCAAAAUUGCAGAGUAUUAAUCUACAACCCUUCCUCCCAACUUAAAGUGCUUUACAAUCCGAAGACCUUCUUCACACACGCGGCAUGGCUGGAUCAGGCUUUCGCCCAUUGUCCAAUAUUCCCCACUGCUGCCUCCCGUAG